UAGAAUAAAGCUCGCUGGAUAGAGUAUUUAGCUGUUAACUAAAUUAUUAUGGGAUCGAGGCCCAUUAUUCUAG
rnacentral:tRNA from 1 species